UACGUAGGGUGCAGGCGUUAAUCGGAAUUACUGGGCGUAAAGCGUGCGCAGGCGGUUCGUUAAGUUCGUUGUGAAAGCCCCGGGCUCAACCUGGGAACUGCAAUGGAAACUGGUGGGCUUGAGUGUGGCAGAGGGGGGUGGAAUUCCGCGUGUAGCAGUGAAAUGCGUAGAGAUGCGGAGGAACACCGAUGGCGAAGGCAGCCCCCUGGGCCAACACUGACGCUCAGGCACGAAAGCGUGGGGAGCAAACAGG
rnacentral:rRNA from 1 species